rnacentral:misc_RNA from 1 species
CUUGCCUUGGUAAAGAAAAAAAUCAACGUUUUGUAAUAAAAUGUGUAAAUGGGAAAACAGAGACGGACAAAUAUUUAUCUGUGUCAAAACGAUUGGAACUCUCGAAAUCAUUGAAUUUAACCGAAGUGCAAAUCAAAACCUGGUUUCAGAAUCGGAGGACCAAGUGGAAGAAGCAAAUGGCUGCACGUCUAAAAUUAGCA